rnacentral:rRNA from 1 species
GAUGAACGCUGGCGGCGUGCCUAAUACAUGCAAGUCGAGCGAAUGGAUUAAGAGCUUGCUCUUAUGAAGUUAGCGGCGGACGGGUGAGUAACACGUGGGUAACCUGCCCAUAAGACUGGGAUAACUCCGGGAAACCGGGGCUAAUACCGGAUAACAUUUUGAACCGCAUGGUUCGAAAUUGAAAGGCGGCUUCGGCUGUCACUUAUGGAUGGACCCGCGUCGCAUUAGCUAGUUGGUGAGGUAACGGCUCACCAAGGCAACGAUGCGUAGCCGACCUGGGAGGGUGAUCGGCCACACUGGGACUGAGACACGGCCCAGACUCCGACGGGAGGCAGCAGUAGGGAAUCUUCCGCAAUGGACGAAAGUCUGACGGAGCAACGCCGCGUGAGUGAUGAAGGCUUUCGGGUCGUAAAACUCUGUUGUUAGGGAAGGACAAGUGCUAGUUGAAUAAGCUGGCACCUUGACGGUACCUAACCAGAAAGCCACGGCUAACUACGUGCCAGCCGCCGCAGUAA